rnacentral:rRNA from 1 species
GAUGAACGCUGGCGGCGUGCUUAACACAUGCAAGUCGAACGAUGAAGCCCAGCUUGCUGGGUGGAUUAGUGGCGAACGGGUGAGUAACACGUGAGUAACCUGCCCUUGACUCUGGGAUAAGCCCGGGAAACUGGGUCUAAUACCGGAUAGGAGCGCCUGUCGCAUGACGGGUGUUGGAAAGAUUUUUCGGUCAUAGAUGGACUCGCGGCCUAUCAGCUUGUUGGUGAGGUAAUGGCUCACCAAGGCGACGACGGGUAGCCGGCCUGAGAGGGUGACCGGCCACACUGGGACUGAGACACGGCCCAGACUCCUACGGGAGGCAGCAGUGGGGAAUAUUGCACAAUGGGCGGAAGCCUGAUGCAGCGACGCCGCGUGAGGGAUGACGGCCUUCGGGUUGUAAACCUCUUUCAGUAGGGAAGAAGCGAAAGUGACGGUACCUGCAGAAGAAGCACCGGCUAACUACGUG